rnacentral:rRNA from 1 species
GACGAACGCUGGCGGCGUGCUUAACACAUGCAAGUCGAACGGAAAGGCCCUGCUUUUGUGGGGUGCUCGAGUGGCGAACGGGUGAGUAACACGUGAGUAACCUGCCCUUGACUUUGGGAUAACUUCAGGAAACUGGGGCUAAUGCCGGAUAGGAGCUCCUGCUGCAUGGUGGGGGUUGGAAAGUUUCGGCGGUUGGGGAUGGACUCGCGGCUUAUCAGCUUGUUGGUGGGGUAGUGGCUUACCAAGGCUUUGACGGGUAGCCGGCCUGAGAGGGUGACCGGCCACAUUGGGACUGAGAUACGGCCCAGACUCCUACGGGAGGCAGCAGUGAGGAAUAUUGCACAAUGGGCGGAAGCCUGAUGCAGCAACGCCGCGUGCGGGAUGACGGCCUUCGGGUUGUAAACCGCUUUCGCCUGUGACGAAGCGUGAGUGACGGUAAUGGGUAAAGAAGCACCGGCUAACUACGUG